AUACGUAGGGGGCGAGCGUUGUCCGGAAUUACUGGGCGUAAAGGGUGCGUAGGCGGCCAAAUAAGUCAGAUGUGAAAGUCCAGGGCUUAACCGUGGAAUCGCAUUUGAAACUGUAUGGCUUGAGUGCAGGAGAGGAGAGCGGAAUUCCUAGUGUAGUGGUGAAAUGCGUAGAUAUUAGGAAGAACACCAGUGGCGAAGGCGGCUCUCUGGACUGUAACUGACGCUGAGGCACGAAAGCGUGGGGAGCGAACAGGAUUAGAUACCCUGGUAGUCCACGCCGUAAACGAUGAGUGCUAGGUGUCGGGAGUCAAAUCUCGGUGCCGGCGCAAACGCAAUAAGCACUCCGCCUGGGGAGUACGGUCGCAAGACUUAA
rnacentral:rRNA from 1 species